UGAAAUCUGGCCUUCGGGUCCGAGUUGUAAUUUGUAGAGGAUGCUUUUGGUGCGGUACCUUCCGAGUUCCCUGGAACGGGACGCCAUAGAGGGUGAGAGCCCCGUCUGGUCGGAUACCAAUCCUCUGUAAAGCUCCUUCGACGAGUCGAGUAGUUUGGGAAUGCUGCUCUAAAUGGGAGGUAUAUGUCUUCUAAAGCUAAAUAUUGGCCAGAGACCGAUAGCGCACAAGUAGAGUGAUCGAAAGAUGAAAAGCACUUUGAAAAGAGGGUUAAACAGUACGUGAAAUUGUUGAAAGGGAAGCGCUUAUGACCAGACUUGGGCCCGAUUAAUCAUCCAGCGUUUUCGCUGGUGCACUUGGUCGGCCCAGGCCAGCAUCAGUUCGGCGUGGGGGAUAAAGGCAUCGGGAAUGUGGCUCCUCCGGGAGUGUUAUAGCCCGUUGCGUAAUACCCUGUACUGGACUGAGGUUCGCGCAUCUGCAAGGAU
rnacentral:rRNA from 1 species